GUAAGGCUGGGGGAGAGAAAGCAGAAAAAAAAAGACAAAGCAUGAAGUUGUCCACCCAUAACCUCAGGACUCCAGAGGUGGACGCAGGAGGACUACAAGUUUAAGGCCAGCCUUCGAUAGGCAGUGAGACCCCAUCUAAGGGGAGGAGGAGGAAGAGGAGACAGGGAGGAGGGGGAAGAGGAGGAGGAGAAGAAGUUGUGGGAGAAAGAGAACAGAAGAGGAAAGAAAAUACGCACUUGGAAGCUGUUGCCAACAAUAAGCUUGCCCAGUUGGAAGGAGCCCGUUGGCAGAGUUGGCACCGAUCGGCUUUAAUCCUUUCUCAGGCACUGAGGCAAUGCAUGCAAGAGUGUACCUGUCGGGAGUUGCCAGAUGUCUGACAUCAGCUCUGUGGAAGUUGCACAGUGGGAAAGUCCUGGCCUUGGAGUCUCAUGGUUCCCCUAACCAUCAUUCGAAAACACAGGCCCGUUCCCUGUUCUUCUGGAAACUUGAGCUCCUUAGCUUCAAAGCAAUGACCUUGAGAGUGUCCUAGGGCAGAAAAAUAUAACAAGACCCAAAAUGCAUUUCUUUAGCCUAUGUAAGGAAGCUGUUUCCUAACAUUGGGGCACUAAAAAGCCCAAAUAAAGAUUUAAGGCAGACGAUGAGCAGACCCC
ensembl:lncRNA